AGCGAACGCUGGCGGCAGGCCUAACACAUGCAAGUCGAACGAACCUUUCGGGGUUAGUGGCGGACGGGUGAGUAGCACGUGGGAACGUGCCUUUAGGUUCGGAAUAACUCAGGGAAACUUGUGCUAAUACCGAAUGUGCCCUUCGGGGGAAAGAUUAAUCGCCUUUAGAGCGGCCCGCGUCUGAUUAGCUAGUUGGUUGAGGUAAUGGCUCACCAAGGCGACGAUCAGUAGCUGGUCUGAGAGGAUGAUCAGCCACAUUGGGACUGAGACACGGCCCAAACUCCUACGGGAGGCAGCAGUGGGGAAUCUUGCGCAAUGAGCGAAAGCCUGACGCAGCCAUGCCGCGUGAAUGAUGAAGGUCUUAGGAUUGUAAAAUUCUUUCACCGGGGACGAUAAUGACGGUACCCGGAAAAGAAGCCCCGGCUAACUUCGUG
rnacentral:rRNA from 1 species